AAAUAGACCAAUAACCGACAGUCAAAAGUAUGUCGGUGACAGGACCACCUGAAAGACUUCCAGCUAAGACGGGAGGAACAAGGGGAACCAACGACAGGUCGGACAAUCCUCUGCAUGAAACCCUAUCAGUGAGAAACAUAGCCGUAAAUGAAGGAGGUGUCGGGAGACAUUAAAGUUUUGACUGGCCGACAAAAGGCGUCUAUGGUUGUGUACUUAGUGCCGCCAAGCUUGUGCACCGGUCUGUAUGAAGAACUGGAAACACUGUGUCUUCCCCAGUCGGCCUGCCAUA